rnacentral:rRNA from 1 species
GAAUACCGAAGAAUGUUAUCACGGGAGACACACGGCGGGUGCUAACGUCCGUCGUGAAGAGGGAAACAACCCAGACCGCCAGCUAAAGGUCCCAAAGUCGAUGGUUAAGUGGGAAACGAAGUGGGAAGGCUCAGACAGCCAGGAUGUUGGCUUAGAAGUACAGCCAUCAUUUAAAGAAAGCGUAAUAGCUCACUGGUCGAGUCGGCCGCGCGGAAGAUGUAA